rnacentral:misc_RNA from 1 species
CCAGAAUUCCAAAAUCUCCCACCUGCAGAAAAGGAUAAACAAGGCUAUAAAACUUCCACACAUACAAUCUCCCAAGGAAAAGGCGAAUCAAAAGAGAUUGUUGGGAGGGGGAGAGGGGGUUUGUGUGAUUAAUUGGCACAAAAACAGUAACUUAAUAGUAUGGUUCAGAUUACAUUGUUGCAACUCAUGCUUAAAAUUACAAUAUAAUAAUAGCCCUACAAGACUGCAUACAGAAGGUUGAUAGUCAGUAGUCUCUGAUGUUGUAUGAAUAUAAAGCCAAAUGGUUUCCUGAGCCAACACCACUAAACCUCUCAUGCAUAAUCAAUUCAGAACAUGUUUAUGUACACCAUCAAUUUUCAUCAUUAAAUCCCAAAUUUGGUGAACAGGAAGGUGAUUUUUUCACAACUCAGUGAUAAUCCAAUGACAAGUUUUGAUAAGUUUUAAGGAUUCACACGAGAAAUCACAUGGAAUAAGAAACACACAAGGGAACAGUCACCCUGGUUUCCAUCCGUUCUUGCACAAGAUAAGCUUGACUGAGACAGAUCUGUGUUAACAAGAAAAAGGGGAAAGAGAAAGAGAGAGAGAGGCAAAACUCAAGAAAGAAGUUGAUUAAGUGCAGUAUAGCUAACGAUAGUACAGGUUGUUUCAUAGUUAUUAAAAUUUGCCAAAAGGAAGAGGGUAAAAAAAACUACUACAUGCCUGAAAGUGAUGCCAAUAUGUAAAUUAAACUGUCAAGAAUGAAUUCUUCAAAAACUAUAUUGAUCAAUGAACAGAAGGAAGAACCAAUACCUCCUGAGGAAGUUCAUGUGCA